UACAGAGGGGGCUAGCGUUAUUCGGAAUUAUUGGGCGUAAAGGGCGCGUAGGCGGCCAUGCGUGUCUUCCGUGAAAUCCCUCGGCUUAACUGAGGACGUGCGGAAGAAACUGCAAGGCUCGAGUCCGGGAGAGGGGGGUGGAAUUCCCGGUGUAGCGGUGAAAUGCGUAGAUAUUGGGAGGAACACCGGUGGCGAAGGCAGCCCCCUGGACCGUGACUGACGCUGAGGCGCGAAAGCGUGGGGAGCGAACAGG
rnacentral:rRNA from 1 species